CGCACAUUGCGCCCCUUGGUAUUCCAUGGGGCAUGCCUGUUCGAGCGUCAUUUGUACCCUCAAGCUCUGCUUGGUGUUGGGCGUUUGUUCCGCUUCGCGCGAGGACUCGCCUCAAAUCGAUUGGCAGCCGGCAGUCUGGUGUUUGAGCGCAGCACAUUUCGCGCUCUCCGCUGGACUGCGGCGUCCACAAGGCUACCAUCUAACGCUUGACCUCGGAUCAGGUAGGGAUACCCGCUGAACUUAA
rnacentral:misc_RNA from 1 species